AUGAGAAUGAGAACGGCUCAUUAAAUCAGCUAUAAUUUGAUCGGUGGGAGGAGUGAUUCGGAGAUGGAUAACCGUGGGAAAGCUAGAGCUAAUACAAGGAGAUGAUUUUCUGUGAAAGAAAAGGGUUAUUAGAUACGAAAGUUCAACUAGAGGGGAUGAGAUAUAAUAAUUGUUAGAUAUCGCAAAAGUGGGAACACAGGCGAAGAACCGAUGAAAUGUCUGCUCUAUCAAUUAGAUGUCAGUAUAGAGAACUGAUAUGGUGAUGACGGGUAACGGAGAAUUGGGGUUCGAUUCCGGAGAGGGGGCAAGAGAAAUGGCCACCACUUCUAAGGAAGGCAGCAGGCGCGCAAAUUAUCCAAUCCAGACAUUGGGAGAUAGUGACAAAAUAUAACAGUGAAAGAACGAAAGUUGUUUGACGUGGAAUGAGAACAAAGUAAAGCUCUUAUCGAGUAACGAUUGGAGGGUAAGUUCUGGUGCCAGCAGCCGCGGUAAUUCCAGCUCCAAAAGUGUAUACGAAUAUUGUUGCAGUUAAAACGCUCGUAGUUGGAAGUGGAUUUUUUUUCAAUGCAUUUUUCAAAUUUUUCAAGAUUUGAGAAAAGGAAGUGAAAAAGAAUAAGAUGAAGAAAAGAAAGAAGAUGAUGAAGAGAGAUUUUCAUGAUUUUUUUUUUUGAAUUACUUUGAAAAAAUUAAAGUGUUUAAAACAAUUGAACAAAAAAGGAAUUUUUCAAUUUUGUUGAUUGAUUGAAUAAUGAAGCAUAGGAUAAUGAAAUAAGAUUUGAAAGAAAGUUGGGUUGAAUCUUUUUAGGGUUUCGAAUAAUGAUCGAUAAAAGUGGUCGGGGGUAUCCAGAUUGAAUAGGGAGCGGUGAAAUGUGAGGAUCUAUUCAAGAUGAACAAGAGCGAAAGCAUUUAUCAAGGACAUUUUUAUUAAUCAAGAACGAAAGUUAGGGGAUCGAAGAUGAUCAGAUACCGUCGUAGUCCUAACUGUAAACGAUGCCGACUAAGAUUGAGUGGUCGUGAUUAUCAUUAAAACCGAUAAUGAACCUCAUUGGAACUUGUGGGAAACCGUUGAGUAUUGGGUUCUGGGGGGGAAUACGGUAGCAAGGCUGAAACUUGAAGGAAUUGACGGAAGGGCACCACAAGGUGUGGAACCUGCGGCUUAAUUCGACUCAACACGGGAAAACUUACCAGGUCCGGACAGUAGCAGGAUUGACAGAGUGACGCUCUUUCUUGAUUGAUUGGUUAGUGGUGCAUGGCCGUUCUUAGUUCGUGGAUUGAUUCGUCUACUUAAUUGUGAUAACGAACGAGACCAUUAUUUAUUUAUUAGUCUAAUCAAAUUGUAAUGAUUUGGGAUUAGAAAUUAAAGAGAUUUAAUUUUUCAACUUCUUAAAAGGACUAUAUGAGAUGAUCAUAAGGAAGUGAAUGGCAAUAACAGGUCUGUGAUGCCCUUUGAUGUUCUGGGCUGCACGCGCGUUACAAUGGAAAUAUCAAAAAGGUGGGGGUGUUUUUUUUGGGGAAGAUUGG
rnacentral:rRNA from 1 species